rfam:Ailuropoda melanoleuca scaffold1251_8, whole genome shotgun sequence.
GCCUGGGUGGCACAGCGGUUGAGCGUCUGCCUUCGGCUCAGGGCGUGGUCCUGGCGUUGUGGGAUCGAGCCCCACAUCAGGCU